rnacentral:tRNA from 1 species
GCCGAGGUAGCUCAGACGGUAGAGCACUACACUGAAAAUGUAGGUGUCGGCGGUUCGAGUCCGCCCCUCGGCACCA